GAUGAACGCUGGCGGCGUGCCUAAUACAUGCAAGUCGAGCGAACAGAUGAGGAGCUUGCUCCUCUGACGUUAGCGGCGGACGGGUGAGUAACACGUGGAUAACCUACCUAUAAGACUGGGAUAACUUCGGGAAACCGGAGCUAAUACCGGAUAAUAUAUUGAACCGCAUGGUUCAAUAGUGAAAGACGGUUUUGCUGUCACUUAUAGAUGGAUCCGCGCCGCAUUAGCUAGUUGGUAAGGUAACGGCUUACCAAGGCAACGAUGCGUAGCCGACCUGAGAGGGUGAUCGGCCACACUGGAACUGAGACACGGUCCAGACUCCUACGGGGGCAGCAGUAGGGAAUCUUCCGCAAUGGGCGAAAGCCUGACGGAGCAACGCCGCGUGAGUGAUGAAGGUCUUCGGAUCGUAAAACUCUGUUAUUAGGGAAGAACAAAUGUGUAAGUAACUAUGCACGUCUUGACGGUACCUAAUCAGAAAGCCACGGCUAACUACGUG
rnacentral:rRNA from 1 species